rnacentral:rRNA from 1 species
CGGGACGGGUGAGUAAUGUCUGGGAAACUGCCUGAUGGAGGGGGAUAACUGCUGGAAACGGUAGCUAAUACCGCAUAACGUCGCAAGACCAAAGAGGGGGACCUUCGGGCCUCUUGCCAUCGGAUGUGCCCAGAUGGGAUUAGCUAGUAGGUGGGGUAACGGCUCACCUAGGCGACGAUCCCUAGCUGGUCUGAGAGGAUGACCAACCACACUGGAACUGAGACACGGUCCAG